rnacentral:rRNA from 1 species
AUUGAACGCUGGCGGCAGGCCUAACACAUGCAAGUCGAGCGAGCGGCGGACGGGUGAGUAAUGUAUGGGGAUCUGCCCGAUAGAGGGGGAUACCUACUGGAAAAGGUGGCUAAUACCGCAUACUAUCGUAUGAAGCAUCAUGGGAUGAGCUAGUAGGUGGGGUAAAGGCUCACCUAGGCGACGAUCUUUAGCUUGUCUGAGAGGAUGAUCGGCCAAACUGGGACUGAGACACGGCCCAGACUCCUACGGGAGGCAGCAGUGGGGAAUAUUGCACAAUGGGCGCAAGCCUGAUGCAGCCAGGCCGCGUGUGUGAAGAAGGCUUUCGGGUUGUAAAGCACUGUUAGCGAAGAGUCGGUACUCGCAGAGAAAGCACCGGCUAACUCCGUGCCAGCCGCCGCGGUAAUUC